GCUUACGGCCACACCGCCUGGUUCACGCCCCGAUCUCGUUUGAUCUCGGGAAGCUAAGGUAGGUUGGGCCUGGUUAGUACUUGGAUGGGAGACCGCCUGGGAAUACCAGGUGCUGUAAGCU
rnacentral:rRNA from 1 species